UACGUAGGGCGCAAGCGUUGUCCGGAAUUACUGGGCGUAAAGGGCUCGUAGGUGGCCAACUAAGUCAGACGUGAAAUCCCUCGGCUUAACCGGGGAACUGCGUCUGAUACUGGAUGGCUUGAGGUUGGGAGAGGGAUGCGGAAUUCCAGGUGUAGCGGUGAAAUGCGUAGAUAUCUGGAGGAACACCGGUGGCGAAGGCGGCAUCCUGGACCAAUUCUGACACUGAGGAGCGAAAGCCAGGGGAGCAAACGGG
rnacentral:rRNA from 1 species